rnacentral:rRNA from 1 species
CCCAGACAGCCAGGAUGUUGGCUUAGAAGCAGCCAUCAUUUAAAGAAAGCGUAAUAGCUCACUGGUCGAGUCGGCCUGCGCGGAAGAUGUAACGGGGCUAAACCAUGCACCGAAGCUGCGGCAGCGACACUGUGUGUUGUUGGGUAGGGGAGCGUUCUGUAAGCCUGUGAAGGUGGCCUGUGAGGGUUGCUGGAGGUAUCAGAAGUGCGAAUGCUGACAUAAGUAACGAUAAAGCGGGUGAAAAGCCCGCUCGCCGGAAGACCAAGGGUUCCUGUCCAACGUUAAUCGGGGCAGGGUGAGUCGACCCCUAAGGCGAGGCCGAAAGGCGUAGUCGAUGGGAAACAGGUUAAUAUUCCUGUACUUGGUGUUACUGCGAAGGGGGGACGGAGAAGGCUAUGUUGGCCGGGCGACGGUUGUCCCGGUUUAAGCGUGUAGGCUGGUUUUCCAGGCAAAUCCGGAAAAUCAAGGCUGAGGCGUGACGACGAGGCACUACGGUGCUGAAGCAACAAAUGCCCUGCUUCCAGGAAAAGCCUCUAAGCAUCAGGUAACAUCAAAUCGUACCCCAAACCGACACAGGUGGUCAGGUAGAGAAUACCAAGGCGCUUGA